rnacentral:rRNA from 1 species
UACGUAGGGUGCAAGCGUUGUCCGGAAUUAUUGGGCGUAAAGAGCUCGUAGGCGGUUCGUCGCGUCGGCUGUGAAAUCCCGCGGCUCAACUGCGGGUCUGCAGUCGAUACGGGCAGGCUAGAGUUCGGUAGGGGAGACUGGAAUUCCUGGUGUAGCGGUGAAAUGCGCAGAUAUCAGGAGGAACACCGAUGGCGAAGGCAGGUCUCUGGGCCGAUACUGACGCUGAGGAGCGAAAGCGUGGGGAGCGAACAGG